rnacentral:tRNA from 1 species
ACCGAAAUAGCUCAGUUAAGAGAGCGUUAGACUAUAGAUCGAGAGGCCCUGGUUCGAUCCCGGGAUUCGGCA